rnacentral:rRNA from 1 species
GCGGUUUGUCACGUCGGGAGUGAAAACUCAGGGCUUAACCCUGAGCGUGCUUCCGAUACGGGCUGACUAGAGGGAUGCAGGGGAGAACGGAAUUCCUGGUGUAGCGGUGGAAUGCGCAGAUAUCAGGAGGAACACCGGUGGCGAAGGCGGUUCUCUGGGCAUUUCCUGACGCUGAGGAGCGAAAGCAUGGGGAGCGAACAGGAUUAGAUACCCUGGUAGUCCAUGCCGUAAACGUUGGGCGCUAGGUGUGGGGACCUUCCACGGUUUCCGUGCCGCAGCUAACGCAUUAAGCGCCCCGCCUGGGGAGUACGGCCGCAAGGCUAAAACUCAAAGGAAUUGACGGGGGCCCGCACAAGCGGCGGARCAUGCUGAUUAAUUCGAUGCAACGCGAARAACCUUACCUGGGUUUGACAUAUGCCGGAAAGCGCCAGAGAUGGUGCCCCUUUUUGUCGGUAUACAGGUGGUGCAUGGCUGUCGUCAGCUCGUGUCGUGAGAUGUUGGGUUAAGUCCCGCAACGAGCGCAACCCUCNUCCUAUGUUGCCAGCACGUCAUGGUGGGGACUCAUAGGAGACUGCCGGGGUCAACUCGGAGGAAGGUGGGGAUGACGUCAAGUCAUCAUGCCCCUUAUGUCCAGGGCUUCAAGCAUGCUACAAUGGCCGGUACAAUGGGCUGCGAUACCGCGAGGUGGAGCGAAUCCCAAAAAGCCGGUCUCAGUUCGGAUUG